ensembl:lncRNA
AUGCAGUGCAAGAUUUGCUCGGCGCCCAUGAUGCUGAGUGAGUGCAUUUGCAGCAUUUAUUCUUAUUUGUCUACAUUUUAUCUUAAUUACAAAUCUUGUUUGGUUUUAUUUUGGAUAAUUGCAUGUAAAAAAUAUAUAUAUAUUUACUUUGUAAUGCAUAUGCAAAAUGUGAAUUAUUAUUCAUAUUCAAGUGUUUGUGCGAAAAUCAUUAAUGCGCUUGACAGGGUGGCGCCCUCUCGAUCACGUGAUUUUUUUUCCCUAAUAAUGAAAUAACUGAAAAUCUGGUUGUCUCACAUACAUGAGAAAUAUAUCUACAGAAAGCUUGAAAUGUCUUUUAAACGAAUCAAUUCAAAACGAAAGCAUUAUGUAAUCUGAGAAGGUUUCAUUUCUCUCUAAAGCCGAGUCCAUGUGGAGAGAGUCAGCACUGUGAAUUUCAUCUUGCAGCCAAGAAAACAUUUGUUUAUUAAUAAAUAAUUAAAAUGUCUCCUUUUUCACAAUUAUUAGGCUACUUCUGCCUGUGCUUUGUGGCAAACUUAAUGCAUGUUCUUGAGCGCGGAAUAUAUUAAGGCUCAUUAUGGAUUAUAGAUGUAAAUUUAAUAUAAACCUGCGAUUAGUUGAAUAAUGACAAAUGACCGACUAGUAACUAUAAAAAUCUUACGUGGGAGGCAGAUCUAUUAAAUACCCUCUAGACAUCUCUGUUAAAGUUUUUAAAGCAUUUUAUACGUGUUUGUAUAAAUUCUUCUUUCAGAAUGGUCUGUAACGGAGAGAUGCCUUAACAAUGCUUUUCCCUCUGAAACACAAAAACAAAAAUUUAAAUAAAAUUGAUAUUUUAUGUUUCGAGAAUGGCCAACCCUUCUCUGUAGAUAUUGUGCUUCUGGUUUGUGCAUUUUAAAUCACAUAAAGUCUACAAAAUAUAAUGUCUCCCAAAACUCACAAAACUGGUGUUUUUUUUGUAACCUAUAAAACAUGUUCAUAGACGGAUACUUUACUGACUCUGUUUGGGAUUCAGAAAAACUUAAAGAGAUGGUUUAAUAUAGGCCUAUUGUUUAUGAAUAGGCUACAUUCUGUGAAAAUUUAUAUUUCACACUCUAAAAAAAUAUUGUAUGGACGCAACAAAAUAAAACGGCCGACGCUCCACUCAGCUUCAACUUUAUUUUAUUUAUUUAUUUAUUUUUAUUUUAUUUUUAUAGGCUACAUUAUGAAAAUAACAUUUCAACUUUAUCCACGGAGCAAGUGCGGAGCAGUGUUUCUGGUAUCAGUGAGCGCGGAGCGGAUUGAUUAUUAAAUGCUCGAGCGCGGAGGGGAAAUUGUAUGAUUGCAUGAUGAGCUAGUAUUAAAAAAUAAAUAAAAUAAAGGUAUUUCCAGCAUUAAGGUAAUAACGUUACUGCUUUUUAUUAAUCAUCUUGUCUCAGUUAUAAAUUUGACUGGUAAAUGAUAAAGAAUUAUAUUAAAACUUGUCUUGAACAAUUUCUUUGUCAUUUGAAUAUUGAUUUUAAGUAUGGCGGCAAAAAAAAAAAAAACAAAACAAAAAAAAAAACAAUUUAAAUCGUAAAACGGAUUUUUUUGUGAAAAAAAUCUGGGAUUUUUUUUAGGCCAUAAGGCCUAUCGCCCAGCCCUAAUGCAACAGUUUGCAUCUUUUUAUUUUAUUUUAUUUAUUUAUUAUUUAUUUAAAUUUUAGUUAAGGCACUUCCUCUGAAAUUAAGUUAUAAUAACUAAUAAACUUUAUUGCGCUAUACAGUAGUCAACAUUUGAAGUGGAUCAAACCUUUCUUUAAAGUUGUCCUAAAACCUCUUCUGCAAGUUUGAUACCCUCAUAAGACACUGUCCAUAUGAAAGAGCAAGAAAUUCACACCUUUAUCUCGACCCCCACAAGCUAUACAGAACUACCCCACAGCCCCCUCCAGCUGAACUGAACUCGGUCUGUUUUUGGGCUGUGAGGAACGGUGUGUUGUUACUGGGUUGAAACAUGCCUGCACUCACAGCAGCCCUACUCUUUUUAUUCAUUAUUUUCUCGCAGCCCAUAUUAUUAUUUUCACUAGACCAAAAUAAUAACAAAUUAUCAAUUGAUAAUUAAUCAUUAUUUUUGUGAAAAUCAUUAUUAUUUGUGAACGUAGGCGUUUGAGGAAGGCUUUAAAACCAAGCGGAAUCCUCCGUCAGCUGCUCCCGCUUCACUGCGACCGCGAGCUCUAACUGACCCAGCUUCACCGUCCGCGGUUUGAUUUUACUAAAUCAGUUUGAGCGAAUACAACUCAUUGAUCAUGAGCCCAACAUUUAGCAAGGUGGGAAAACAUUCAGUCUACCUGAAGGAAGACGUAUUUCAUUGAGCUAAUGCUGUUAAAUAGAGAUUAAAAAAAAAAAAAAAACCUAGUGUAGGCUAUUCUUAAACUUGGAUCUCAUUAUAUUGAAGUAAAAAUCCAAACACCAGAAGCAACCUACACUCUCAGUGUUCUUUCAUUGAAAAGUAUGCAUUUUAUUUAUUCACAGGCUAUAUGGUAGAAAGUACGGAGCCCCUCUGGUCCCACUUUGUCAAAAAAAAAAAAAAAAACUUAUCUUGUGGCCUCAAGAUACUAACUCGUGGCCUCAAGAUAAGUAACUCGUGGCCUCAAGAUACUAACUCGUGGCCUCAAGAUACUAACUCGUGGCCUCAAGAUAAGUAACUUGUGGCCUCAAGAUACUAACUCGUGGCCUCAAGAUAGUGAAGUGUCUGACACAUGGACCUUUGUUAUUAAACUGGACCCUGUACUGUAGUGCAAUGUAAUACUUCACAUUCUGUGCAAUAUUCUCUGUUUUAAUAUUCAGUGUAAUAAAGUUUGCUGCAGUUCUGCUUCUAUUUAUUUACUAGUACUGUUCAUCACAAUUAAUUCAAUUCUGUUAAUACAGUAAUGUAAAUCUUGUAGGCUGUAUAUCCAUAGUCCUUUAUAAUUCUUCUUCAUAUUUUAUAGCAUAUGUUUCUGAGUUAAACAAAACCAAGUAAUUGCAAUGAUACAUAAUACAACACUCGGUUAGUCUUUGUAACGUAAAUCUCCUCAGAUGACAUAGACGCCUGACAACUUUGUUGUUGUGAUUAACGUAAACACGCAAUUCAUACUUUGCAGUCACGUGACUACCAUGGAUACCUGGCGGGCAACAAACGCUGACAAAAUGCAUCCAAGUGUGCAUCCAAUCGCACAACAACUAUCUGCCAUGCAGGCGACGAUUGUUUACACCUCAAAACACCAACUUUUGUAUAUUAAAACUGGCAAGGUCCUGUCAAGAUCCUAUUAAUUCAUACUUUGCACAUGACGUCACAAGUACUGGCUGGGAAAUACUGGGAAAUACACAUAAAUACAUACAGCCAGACGGAGGUACCGUGACCUAAGCCUAGAACGCCCUCUGCUGACGUUUUUAUCGUAGGCUACAAGGACAUGCUUUUUCAAAAUGUGAAACACUUCAAUAAUUAAUGAACCAGUCUGCACACUACUAUAGGCUAACUUAAAAUCAGAAUCAGAAAUAUUUUAUUGAUCUUUAUUGAUAUUGAUAACUCGGGGGACAAUUCUUGUGUCACAGUUGAUGUGCACAUCAAGACAUUUAAAGGAAUAUAAAUAAUAAUAGAAGUUGGUAAAUAAACAAGUAGCCUAUAUACAUGUAAAAAGUAUAAAUAUAUGCUAUAAAAUAUGAAGAAGAAUUAUAAAGGACUAUGGAUAUGCAGCCUACAAGAUUCACAUUAAAUUAAAUUAAAUUUAUGCAUUUAGCAGACGCUUUUAUCCAAAGCGACUUACAGUGCAUUCAAGCUAUCAAUUUUUACUUAUCAUGUGCUCCCGGGGAAUCGAACCCCCAACCUUGCGCUUGGUAACGCAAUGCUCUACCACUUGAGCUACAGGAGCACUACUGUACAGCAUUACUGUAUUAACAGAAUUGAAUUGAUUGUGAUGAACAGUAUUUAAUAAAUAAAUAGAAGCAGAACUGCAGCAAACUUUAUUACACUCAAUAUUAAAACAGAGAAUAUUGCACAGAAUGUGAAGUUUUACAUUGCACUACAGUACAGGGUCCAGUUUAAUAACAAAGGGUCCAUGUGUCAGACACUUCACUAUCUUGAGGCCACGAGUUAGUAUCUUGAGGCCACGAGUUACUUAUCUUGAGGCCACGAGUUAGUAUCUUGAGGCCACAAGAUAAGUUUUUUUUUUUUUUUGGCAAAGUGGGACCAGAGGGGCUCCGUAAGAAAUAAUAUUUUAGUUGAAAACUUUAAGUGCCAUUGUUUAAAAAAUGCAUCAUAGAAACGUUUCUAAAUUACUACCCCAAUUCUAUAAUGGUAAAAUUUAUUCAGGCCGAUGGCGUUUUUUAUGACAUUAUUUAUUUUUAUUUUUAGAAUAAUUGUAUCCUACAUAAAUGAGUGAAUCAAAACAAAUAUAACUUUUUAACUGCAGGCAGAUAGGCCUAUAUUAUUGUACAUUACAAAUAUUUGGAUCGUCCCUAAUUCUGUC